GAUUGCUGUAGUAACUACUUAGAUCACUCGGUCAACGAGGCCCCUACUUGUUUUGAAGCCACGUGCAAAUAGUUUUUCGAGACAAUAUAUAUUGAUCCUCUCUCUAUAUAUAUAUUCGAUCAAAUUCAUUUCAAAUGGAACAAAUAGACAUAAUAACUAAGGACGUUUAAGUGCAGGUUGGAGCAAUUAAAUGAUUAUUUUCAUUGAAAUAUUCCUUAUGUGUCGGUUGAUACAUUUUUCUAAAAAAUGAUGCAAUUGUGACUCGUGUUGGGUUUUUUUAUUGUGUAAAGCUGACAUUAGAGACAUGAGAUAACAUACUCCAAACAUGCAUAUGCAUCACAAUGCCUUAUAUAGUUUUCAUUGAGGAAUGCAUGUUGUAUAUUGGAACUUACAAAAUACUCAACUAAUUUCAAAUGAAAAUUUAUUGUUACAAGCAAGCACACAUAAUCAUAUUAUAAUAUGAAUAUACAAAAAAAUAAAUCAAAAUUACAUAAAAAGUUCAACAUGUUCAAAGAAGUCACUGUUGUUUACUCUCUAGUUUAAUAGUUCAUUAAAUUCCAUGUUUCCUACAAAAUUGUCCUUAAUUGCUUAAUAUGUAUUAAUUUUCUUACGUUUAGCAUUUCCAUUAAAUUAGUCUUGUCGAUUCUGAAUAAAGUAAACAAUAAUGUAUUAAAUGAUUCUGAAAAUUCAAUUGCUUUUGGCUGUAAUUAAGUCUAUAUUAUUUUAUAUUUGAUUCAUACCUAACAGUGGCAUGUACACUUUUUGGCGUUUAUUUAGUCUAUAUUCUACUCUAUUUGCUAAAUCUAUGUCGAAAGGAAUAAAAAAAAAAUCAUUCAAUAUUAUAUUUUAACACUCAUUUGUGUCCCCCGCUAUAACUGAUGUGAAAUUAGUUUAAACAUGUUUUGAAUUAUACUAAUUAAAUUAACUGACAUUUGUUAAUAUAAUUUUGUUAUAUAGUUAUAUUUAGACAAAUAUAUAUGUAAAUAAUCAUAUAAUUAUAUGUUGAAGGUUUAUAUAAUCUGAUUAAAUAUCAGUUUAAAGGAGAUAAAGGGAAUAUAUGAACUGCUAUGUUUAGACCUGUUGGUGACCUUCUGCUGUUGUUUUUUUUUCUAUGGUCGGGUUGUUGUCUCUUUGGCACAUUCCCCAUUUCCAUUCUCAAUUUUAUUUUGUUUCUUCCAAAUUCUCAAAGUUAAAUAUACUAUGCAGUAGAAAUACUUGAUUAAAUUGUCAAUGGAUUGUUUUUGUCAUUUCCUAUUUUGAUUUAAGAAAAUGUUUUUAUUUUAGUUAAUGACAAAUGAUACACACGUUAUAUUUCUUUUUAAUUUAAAUUUUGAUUACCAGAACAUAAAAAAAAACCUGACCCUUAGCCAUUUUUUACUUUCAAAAUACUUUUGGAAAGAAUGGACAUAAAAUAAACUAAGCAAUACAAAAGCAGUACUUUGGGUAAUAAAAGAUCAUGGUGGAUUUUGUAGUCAUGGUAUAGUUCAUUGGAGAUAGCUGAUUAUGGUGUAUAUUCUGGAAGUUCUAGCUUUGUCAUUUGCUUCUCGUUGUCAACGAAUUGCUCACUUCUAACUUCUCUGUCUUUCUUCUGAAAUAUAU
rnacentral:lncRNA from 1 species